GUGGUCAGUGUGUGAGUCUAGUGUAGGUCAGUAUGAGUGUGUAAAUAGUAUGUCGAGACCGAAUGUAACCGCAACCGCUUGAGUCUAAUGUAAUCAAGCGGUUUCUGGCGGGGGAAGCAAACGCGUGAUCCCACCCCUUCGCGGGCACGCAAACCGGUGACCGAAUCUAUUAACUCGGUAGGCCAACCUACGACCGUCCGGUUGAACCGACUCGCGUAAAAGAGUCGGUUGUCCCAUCACUAACCUCUAGCUAGCUCCA